rnacentral:rRNA from 1 species
UACGAAGGGGGCUAGCGUUGUUCGGAAUUACUGGGCGUAAAGCGCACGCAGGCGGUCCGUUAAAUUAGAAGUGAAAGCCCUGGGCUCAACCCGGGAAUUGCUUUUAAGACUGGCGGACUAGAAUCCGGAAGAGGGUAGCGGAAUUCCCAGUGUAGAGGUGAAAUUCGUAGAUAUUGGGAAGAACACCGGUGGCGAAGGCGGCUACCUGGUCCGGCAUUGACGCUCAGGUGCGAAAGCGUGGGGAGCAAACAGGAUUAGAUACCCUGGUAGUCCACGCCAUAAACGAUGGGUGCUAGUUGUUGGGGCGCUUGCGCUUCAGUGACGCAGCUAACGCAUUAAGCACCCCGCCUGGGGAGUACGGCCGCAAGGUUAAA